UACGAAGGGGGCUAGCGUUGCUCGGAAUUACUGGGCGUAAAGCGCACGUAGGCGGAUCUUUAAGUCAGGGGUGAAAUCCUGGAGCUCAACUCCAGAACUGCCUUUGAUACUGAGGACCUUGAGUUCGGGAGAGGUGAGUGGAACUGCGAGUGUAGAGGUGAAAUUCGUAGAUAUUCGCAAGAACACCAGUGGCGAAGGCGCUCACUGGCCCGAUACUGACGCUGAGGUGCGAAAGCGUGGGGAGCAAACAGGG
rnacentral:rRNA from 1 species